GGCUGCACCCAUGGCACAUGGAAGUUCUCAGGCUAGGGGUCAGACUGGAGCUGAAGCUGCCAGCCUAUGCCACAGCCACAGCAACACCAGAACUGAGCCAUGUUUGCAACCUACAUCACAGCUCACAGCAAUGCCAGAUCCAUAGCCCUCUGAGAAGGACCAGGGGUUGAACCAGCAUCCUCAUGGAUACUAGUUGGGUUCAUUACUGCUGAGCCACAACAGAAACUCCAUUACCAUGUUAUUUGUGUUGGGACUCCUCCACCCAUAUAACCUUGGCUUUUAUGAAGUCACAGGGACAAUCUAUUAAAGACUAACCAGUCUGAUUUACAGAAUCCAAGGAAACCUACUGAUCUCAUGGUAUACAAUGGAAUUAUGAUAAAUAUGAUGUAACAUUCCAUGCUGAGCUCUCAAGAGUUUCAAAAAAACUUUAUAUAUUCUCUUUCCCUAUUGAAACAGUUUUUACUUUGUCACCCCAUUUAGCCUUCUCAUCAUUAACAAGAAUGCCAAGGGGAAGGGAGAGGGAAUUAGGGGUUAGUAGAUGCAAACUAUUACAUUUAGAAUGGAUAAACAAGGUCCUACUGUUUAGCACAGGGAACUAUAUCUAAUCUCCUGAGACAGAUCAUGAUGAAAAACAAUAUAAAAAAGAAUGUGUAUGUAUGUAUGACUGAGUCACUUUGCUUUUUUUGCCAUUUUGUAUUUUUUUUUUUGUCUUUUUGCCUUUUCUAGGGCCACUCCCAUGGCAUAUGGAGGUUCCCAGGCUAGGGGUCAGAUCGGAGCUGUAGCAGCUGGCCUAUGCCAGAGCCAGAGUAAGGUGGUGUCCGAGCCGCAUCUGCAACCUACACUACAGCUCACGGCAAUGCUGGAUCCUUAACUCACUAAGCAAGGCCAGGAACCAAACCCACAACUUCAUGGUUCCUAGUCAGAUUUGUUAACCACUGCGCCACAACGGGAACUCCCUGUAUUGUUUUUUACAAUAGCAGAAAUUGGCACAAUGUAAAUCAACUAUACUUUACUAUUAAAAAAGAAAAAACAAUCUUGGAAAAUUUAUUGAGAUGACAUUAUAUUUCUAUUGGAAUCUCAUUUUAUUUUACUGAAUGUAUUUAUUCAGUCAUUUAAUGGAUUAAAGUUAUUCAUAAAGGUUAAAAAAAAGAAUGAGGAAGAAACCUGCAAGUAAGAUCUUAAUUUGCAAUUUGGAGGUGAUUAUCUUUGGUAGUCCCAUCUGCUGAGGACCUGCAUAUGGUGACCUCUAAUAAUUCUAUCCAAUACACACUUAAGUGCUGAAGGACUCCAGUACUGGGGCCCAGGGAUACCAUUCAGGUCAUGUAUGUUUUGCCUACUAUCUAGCACCAACAAUUACACUGAAAACGAAGAAUACAUUGUUAUUCCAUAGAAGAUACAUUGAAUAUAAAGAAUAUAGAUUUUUAAUGAGAUUUCAGGAUGUUUAAGGACAAGUAGUAAUUGAUAUUAUCUGUAGAGUAAAGGGCAAAGACUGAGGGCAUUAUUUAGAGUGUAAGAAUGGAGAGAAAUUUAGGCCAGAGUAAUAAGAGGAUGUGAAUUAUCUACUGUAAGAUCAUUGCCUGUGGCCUGGGAACAUAAGAUUGCUCAACUUAAUCAGUUUGUAGAGUCUCAUUUUUAAAGUCUUUUCAAUAAUUCUACUAAAGGCUGAGGCUUAGAUAUUUUGGUUUAUUACUCAAUAUUUGAAGAUAACUCAGGUGUACACUAACUUUUCCAAGUUAUUGAGGAGCAACAGAGUGAGGCAGAAAUCAAGAUAAUGUUCUUAUCAAUUUUAUCAACAAGAGUAGAAGCAGCAGUGGCAGCAACAAGCAAACUUUUUUUGUGUGUUAGGCACUGAGGAUGAAGAGAAGCAUAUACCUCAGCCCCUUAAUGGGUGUACGGUUAAUUUCUAAAUAUCUUUUGUAAAAGGAAGUAUUUGAAUAAAUGAGGUGCAAAACAACAACAAAAAAUUACUAUCUACUUGUUAAUGGUAUUUUUAAAACUUUUACGUACUACUGAGUUCUUAGUAUUUUUCUGCAUUUAAAAUUACAUUCCUAAGUGUGCCUCUGAAAAAUAAAACAAGCUUCUGUAUGUAGUAGCUCAACCCAGCUUCUUUUUGGAUUUUUAAUUUUCUUAAAUUUAGAGUCUAAUAAUUAAAAAACAACCAAAAGGUUUUUCACCUUUUAAAGCCAAAUUUGUUAUGAGUUUGAGCCACUAGGUACUAAUUCUUAUCAAUUACUUAAAAGAGGAAAUAGGUCACUUAAUGUAACUAAGCAAAAUUCAAGGAGAAAUUUAGAUAUCUGUAAUAAACAGAAUCAUUCUAGGCAUGGGAUGUUAGUAUAGCUACUGUUAAACUUAUGGAGAAGUCUAGUAUAAAGUCAUACCAAGAAGUACAUUUAAAAGUUUUAUAGGAUAUAUGUAGUAUGGAAAGUAGCUACAAAAUCAUAUGUAUGAUAUGAUCUCAAUUUUGUUGGGCUAUAAGAUAUAUUUAUGAAGAGAUAUACAUUGAAAUGUAAAGUUAGUGGUAGGCUUACAGAUGGCCAUUAUAAAUUCUCUAAUUUUUUACUUUCCAAAAUUCACACAAUAAACAAUUAUUAUGCUAAAAGCCAUUAAAGAUAAAAUUGUUCAUUAUGGGGGCAUGUGGGGUGAUUAGCAGAUACAUGAUUUAGGGAAAUUUUGGUAAGAAUUUAAACAGUGUGCAGUAGCCUUUCUAUGUUCAUUGUGAAAUAUGUCACUAGUAGUACAUGGGAAUUUUCAGCCAUAGUUGCACUUCCAAAUCAUAAUCUAAUAGGGUCAUAAACAAAGAAUAAUAGCAAGUAGAUUAUUAUAGAAACAUCAUUAAGAAUAUAAGUAUCAGCAAGCAAUUUGAUAGGAAUUAAAACUUAACGUUUUUUAAAGCUAUGACAUAUAUAUGUAGGUGAUGAUGCAUUUAGUUAUAACUGAUAGUGUCUUUUCAUUUUAAAAUUUAGAAACAGAUAAUGUGAACAUCAUAUAACUAUAUAAGCAACAUUUACCACUUAUUUCUUGUCAUGGGUUACUAGCGUAAUUAUAGAAUAGGUUUAUUUCACUUUGUCAAAAGAUGAACAUGCUAUGAAAAUAAAAACAAGUAUUUAAAAACUCUAAGACAGAUCAACAAAGUACAAAUAAAGCAUGCACUACUAUCUGUAGCAACUUCCUAAAUUGCUACUUACUCAUCCAUCUUUAGCUGGUGAUGAUUGUGCUAGGUGAAUGGUGACAAAUGAGUGGCUUCAGAGACUACUAUAAGCAAAAUGGUGAAACUGUUAUGGGUUUAACAUGUAUUUGCAAGCAUGAUUUGAGAUAAUUCAAAAAUUAUUGCUCCUAUGAAGUAUGUGAGUUAUGAGAAAUAUGUCUAAUAUUUUGAUGUGGUUGGAUGAUCAAUAAAAUAUUGUAGGUUGAGAGAGAGAGUUGGAACAUUAACUUACUGUUCAUAAUUUCAAAAACUGGAGAAAAAUAUUUUAAAGAAAAAUAUCCUUUGCAAUAGAUUUUUUUUGAAGUAUGUGGGGAAAGUCUCUUCAACAUAAAUUGCUUCAAUAUAUAUGCUGAGCCUGGCAGCAGGUGGGUAUCACUUUGGGACAAAUUGCAGCCCAGUACUUGGGUGCAUAUGAGAGUAUGAACUUGUCCAGUAGUACUGACAUCCUCAGAGAGCAUGACAGAUCAAAGAAGAGAUUGUAGAAAAAAGGAAAACUUUUAAUAUCUUACUACCUUUCAUGGCACAUUUUUUUCCUGCAUUUUGAAUAAUGGGCACUAUGUUUCCAUUUUUCUCCUGGCUCUAUAAGUUAUCUAGCUAAUCCUGGUGUCAAGAAAGACAAUAUAAAGGAUCUAUUUUUUAUGAUUGUAAACAGAGCAUAGUCAAAUUUAGUCUUAUUUGGGACCAUGAUUUUACCCUGAAAAUUGAAAUUGGAAGGAAGAAAAACAAGAUGACUUCUGAAAGGGUAGGAAAAUCUCCAUGCAACUACAUAGGAUAAAAGGUAAAAGAAAAAAAGAGAGAGAGAGAGAGAUGAAUUGGAACAGAGCCUGGGCCCCAGAGAUGUAGCUGUGAAGGAGGAAAUUUUCUGCAUCCUGGAAAUUCCACUCACAGGCAGGUAGCUCAUCUUGGAUGGAGGGGAAACUUUGGAUCCUAGAAGUAAGGCAUAGCAACUAGUUUGUGGAAGGCAAAACAGAGAGUGACCUACAAGAAGAUUAGCACUGCUACCUGGUGCUCCCUAGCCUGAUACUCAUCUGCUUCUGCAGGUGGGGCUGGAUGCUAAAGCUCAGGUUUUAGGGGUCAGCCUCAGGUAGAGGACCAGGGUUGGCUGCAUAGAGACAGCCUAAAGAGACUAGCCUGUGGCCACUAACGGUGUACUCAGAAGUCUGGGCCUGCCAGAGUGGCAAGGUGCCACUGUUGGGGCAGGGGGUGAAGUGUGUGAGGAGAGGGUUAAGACUGUCAUGUCAUAAGAGUUUCAUUCCCUGUAAGUACUCCUAGGUAAAAGGACAAUACCUAAGUAGCUCUUGGGCAUGGGUGUGAGCUGCUGCAGACAUGGUGGGCUGCAAAGGAGGGCAUGGGCUGCCACUGCCACUACAACACUGGUGAGCAGGCAAGUGCUAUCUCCCCAUCAGGACUUCUUGGGCCACAGGCACUACUACAAGACCUAUGAACAUGUCCCAAGCACUGCCCUUGCCAUACUGAGGGCACUCUCAAGAGCUUCUGGUCCUGUAUACCCUAUUUCAAGGGCAUAACAACCAGCACACACUGAGGAAAGAGGAAGCAAGCAUCCAAAUUAAAACCAGCCCACAAUUCCAAACAAGAUGAUGGAGUAGAAGGACUUGAGAUCACCUCCUUUCAUGAAAACACCAACAUCACAACUAAUUGCUCAACUACUAUUGACAAAAAAUACUAGAACAUACAAAAAAGAUAUUCUACAUCCAAAGACAAAGAAGAAACCACAAGGAGACAAUAGGAAAAGCAUUUUCACAAUAUAAUCAA
rnacentral:lncRNA from 1 species